rnacentral:lncRNA from 1 species
GAUGGCCACUUUCAACUAGUUCUGAUCAUCAUUUACUGGCAGCAUUAUCAUUGCUACCACACAGAAAAUUAAAAGGAAUAAGUGACUUCAGUGCACAUACAGAGUCAAGAAAUGGAAAGCAUCAUCUAUUUCUCCCAAAGUCACAAGAUUCUAAGGGUCCUCCUGAUACACAGGCUGAAACCAAUAGCCCCAAGGAGCCCUGAAUUGAAAACAUGAGUAACCCCACGAAUGGAUCAUUUGACCUCAAGAGGGUCACAGCUCACAUACUGAGAACCAGCGCUUUAACGCUUUCUUGAAGUCUUGUAAACAAUACUAGUAUCCAGGACAAUCUGAUGUGCAAAAAUAUUAGAGGUCUUCUAGUAAAGUUUCUUUC